CCAGCAGCUGCGGUAAUUCCAGCUCCAAUAGCGUAUAUUAAAGUUGUUGCAGUUAAAAAGCUCGUAGUUGGGGAUGGUGGCUGGGGCGUGUGCUGGUGUGCCGCAAGGCAGGACUGGGGGCGCUCGGCCGAUGGCUGGGGAGCUGUCUGCCGUGAGGUGGGCAGGGACCUGGGGAUUACUUUGAAGAAAUUAGAGUGUUCAAGGCAGGCAGAAUGGAGGCCUGGAUAGAUUAGCAUGGAAUAAUGGAAUGGGACGGCGGUCUUGUUUUGUUGGUUGUGGAGGGACUGUGGUGUGAGGAUUGAUAGGGACAGUUGGGGGCAUUUGUAUUCGGUAGUCAGAGGUGAAAUUCU
rnacentral:rRNA from 1 species